UACAGAGGCCCCAAGCGUUACUGAGAAUCACUGGGCUUAAAGGGUGCGUAGGUGGUCCGUUAAGUUCGUUGUGAAAUCCCUGGGCUCAACCCAGGAAAUGCUUCGAAUACUGGCGGACUUGAGGCUAGUAGAGGUCACUGGAACUGACGGUGGAGCGGUGAAAUGCGUAGAUAUCGUCAGGAACGCCAAUGGUGAAGACAGGUGACUGGGCUAGUUCUGACACUGAGGCACGAAAGCGUGGGGAGCGAACGGG
rnacentral:rRNA from 1 species